UAUUGCACAAUGGGGGAAACCCUGAUGCAGCGACGCCGCGUGAGUGAAGAAGUAUUUCGGUAUGUAAAGCUCUAUCAGCAGGGAAGAAAAUGACGGUACCUGAUUAAGAAGCCCCGGCUAACUACGUGCCAGCAGCCGCGGUAAUACGUAGGGGGCAAGCGUUAUCCGGAUUUACUGGGUGUAAAGGGAGCGUAGACGGAAUUGCAAGUCUGAUGUGAAAAUCCGAGGCUCAACCCCGGAACUGCAUUGGAAACUGUAUUUCUAGAGUGUCGGAGAGGCAAGUGGAAUUCCUGGUGUAGCGGUGAAAUGCGUAGAUAUUAGGAGGAACACCAGUGGCGAAGGCGGCUUACUGGACUGUAACUGACGUUGAGGCUCGAAAGCGUGGGGAGCAAACAGG
rnacentral:rRNA from 1 species